AAGCAGGGGAAACAGCUGACAGCCAUUGCUCAUUUGCUCCCUCCUCUCCUUUUGCCUCUCUGCCUUCUCUGCUCCGCGCGCCUUCUCUCUCCUCUUCAUUCAAAACCAAGCAGAGUGGGCUGCUCUGCUCUCUGCUUACCCUUAACUCUGCUUCCUUUCUUUUCUCUGGGAGACACGCAGCCCCACCCCCUUGCCUUGCCGGCUUGCUUUGCUCCCUUCUUCCUCGCUCCCUCCCUCCCCUCAAAGAGUACCACCGGCUACAACACUCCAACUCCCAACCAAGCGAGCGGUGCAAGAAGAGCAAUGGACGCGGAUGGGGCCGACCAAGCUCCGCCCAGGCCUCCAUGGCCUCCUCACCGGCACCAGGUGGACGCGGAGGAGAAGGUAGAGGGCAGGCCUGGCGCAGUGGUGAAGUCCUCCCCACUUGUGCCAAGAGGUCCUGGGUUCGAACCAGCCUCUCUGCAUUGCACUUUGCAGGGGUAAGACUAGGUUCCUAUAAUUCCUUCCCAGACCCCACCUUGUGUGGGAGCUUCUAUGCACUGGGUCUGUCCUGUCCUGGUCUGCAGGUGCCAGGCCCGCUUUGAUCACUGGGAGCAGCCGGGCGUCCACCGGUGGUGACGCCUGCCAGGCCCGCGUUGAUCACUGGGAGCAGCCGGGCGUCCACCGGUGGUGACGCCUGCUCGAUCAAGGAGCGAGGGAGGGAGGAGAAGUCGGGAAUGAAGCCGUAUUGGUCCGGGAGCGUAUACAUAGUACUCAUAUUCUUUUGCGUAACGUUAGACAAUUACCAGAUGGUACAAGUUUCAGUUUUCAGGUAGAGGUGUAAUCAGUAACUGACCAGCUAAGCCUUGCCUAUUCUUUGAA